rnacentral:rRNA from 1 species
UCAGUAACACGUAGUCAACAUGCCCAGAGGACGUGGAUAACCUCGGGAAACUGAGGAUAAACCGCGAUAGGUCAUAAUAUCUGGAAUGAUUUAUGGCUUAAAUCUAUAUGGCCUCUGGAUUGGACUGCGGCCGAUCAGGCUGUUGGUGAGGUAAUGGCCCACCAAACUUAAAACCGGUACGGGCUCUGAGAGGAGAAGCCCGGAGAUGGGCACUGAGACAAGGGCCCAGGCCCUAUGGGGCGCAGCAGGCGCGAAAACUCUGCAAUAAGCGAAAGCUUGACAGGGUUAUUCUGAGUGAUUUCCGCUAAGGAAAUCUUUGGUACCUCUAAAAAUGGUGCAGAAUAAGGGGUGGGCAAGCCUGGUGCCAGCAGCCG